rnacentral:rRNA from 1 species
UACGUAGGGAGCAAGCGUUGUCCGGAUUUAUUGGGCGUAAAGCGCACGCAGGCGGUUUAGUCAGUCUCUACUGACAGUGUCCGGCUCAACCGGGCAAGUGGUAGGGAAACUGCUAAACUUGAGGGCUUCAGAGGGAUGGGGAACUCCAGGUGGAGUGGUGAAAUGCGUUGAGAUCGGAAGGAACGCCCGUGGCGAAAGCGAGGUCCUGGACGUUUACUGACGCUGAGACGCGAAAGCCAGGGGAGCGAACGGG